rnacentral:tRNA from 1 species
AUCUCCAUAGCUCAAUUGGAAUAGAGCACGUGCCUUCUAAGCAUGAGGUUGUAGGUUCGAAUCCUACUGGAGAUA